rnacentral:piRNA from 1 species
UGAUCUUCUUUUUAACCCACAUAGCCUUCUU